GACGAACGCUGGCGGCGUGCCUAAUACAUGCAAGUAGAACGCUGAAGGAGGAGCUUGCUUCUCUGGAUGAGUUGCGAACGGGUGAGUAACGCGUAGGUAACCUGCCUGGUAGCGGGGGAUAACUAUUGGAAACGAUAGCUAAUACCGCAUAAUAGCAGUUGUUGCAUGACAACUGUUUGAAAGGUGCAAUUGCACCACUACCAGAUGGACCUGCGUUGUAUUAGCUAGUUGGUGGGGUAACGGCUCACCAAGGCGACGAUACAUAGCCGACCUGAGAGGGUGGUCGGCCACACUGGGACUGAGACACGGCCCAGACUCCUACGGGAGGCAGCAGUAGGGAAUCUUCGGCAAUGGACGGAAGUCUGACCGAGCAACGCCGCGUGAGUGAAGAAGGUUUUCGGAUCGUAAAGCUCUGUUGUAAGAGAAGAACGAGUGUGAGAGUGGAAAGUUCACACUGUGACGGUAUCUUACCAGAAAGGGACGGCUAACUACGUG
rnacentral:rRNA from 1 species